GACGAACGCUGGCGGCGUGCCUAAUACAUGCAAGUAGAACGCACAGUUUAUACCGUAGCUUGCUACACCAUAAACUGUGAGUUGCGAACGGGUGAGUAACGCGUAGGUAACCUGCCUGGUAGCGGGGGAUAACUAUUGGAAACGAUAGCUAAUACCGCAUAAUAUUAAUUAUUGCAUGAUAAUUGAUUGAAAGAUGCAAUUGCGUCACUACCAGAUGGACCUGCGUUGUAUUAGCUAGUAGGUGAGGUAACGGCUCACCUAGGCGACGAUACAUAGCCGACCUGAGAGGGUGAUCGGCCACACUGGGACUGAGACACGGCCCAGACUCCUACGGGAGGCAGCAGUAGGGAAUCUUCGGCAAUGGACGAAAGUCUGACCGAGCAACGCCGCGUGAGUGAAGAAGGUUUUCGGAUCGUAAAGCUCUGUUGUAAGAGAAGAACGGGUGUGAGAGUGGAAAGUUCACACUGUGACGGUAUCUUACCAGAAAGGGACGGCUAACUACGUG
rnacentral:rRNA from 1 species